rnacentral:lncRNA from 1 species
ACAAGAGGAAAGGCGCCCUACCGAGCCUUCUCCCGUGUCUCCACGACGUGAGGCACGUGCGGAGGUCCCUCCUCCUCCUUCCCCCUCAGUGAUUCUUGCCAGAUUUGCGGGGAGGCCGGUUACUACCGGGAGAAGGAUCCAUUCGGAGUUUUUCAACCAAGAAGGAUUUCGGAUUUGGGAAUGGAUCCAAAGACAAGGUUGGGAGUAUCUUUGCUCCCUUGAUGUGGUGAUUUACUCCGGGUUGGUCCAAGAGUUCUACGCCUUCCUCAAGACUGGUAUGGGAGGGCUUAUUU